rnacentral:tRNA from 1 species
GGUUUGUGGCUCCGUGGUAGAACAUUUGCCUGGCAUGCACAAAGUCCUGGGUUUGAUCCCCAGUACUG